rnacentral:miRNA from 1 species
GCGGACGUGUGAGGAGGG